AGUGAACGCUGGCGGUAGGCCUAACACAUGCAAGUCGAACGGCAGCACAGGAGAGCUUGCUCUCUGGGUGGCGAGUGGCGGACGGGUGAGGAAUACAUCGGAAUCUACCUUUUCGUGGGGGAUAACGUAGGGAAACUUACGCUAAUACCGCAUACGACCUACGGGUGAAAGUGGGGGACCGCAAGGCCUCACGCGAUUAGAUGAGCCGAUGUCCGAUUAGCUAGUUGGCGGGGUAAUGGCCCACCAAGGCGACGAUCGGUAGCUGGUCUGAGAGGAUGAUCAGCCACACUGGAACUGAGACACGGGCCAGACUCCUACGGGAGGCAGCAGUGGGGAAUAUUGGACAAUGGGCGCAAGCCUGAUCCAGCCAUACCGCGUGGGUGAAGAAGGCCUUCGGGUUGUAAAGCCCUUUUGUUGGGAAAGAAAUCCUGUCGAUUAAUACUCGGUGGGGAUGACGGUACCCAAAGAAUAAGCACCGGCUAACUUCGUGCCAGCAGCCGCCUAAAAC
rnacentral:rRNA from 1 species